CGGCGAGUGAAGCGGCAAUAGCUCAAAUUUGAAAUCUGGCCCUUUUAGGGUCCGAGUUGUAAUUUGCAGAGGGCGCUUUGGUGUUGGCAGCGGUCCAAGUUCCUUUGAACAGGACGUCACAGAGGGUGAGAAUCCCGUACGUGGUCGCUAUCCUUCGCCGUGUAAAGCCCCUUCGACGAGUCGAGUUGUUUGGGAAUGCAGCUCUAAAUGGGAGGUAAAUUUCUUCUAAAGCUAAAUACUGGCCAGAGACCGAUAGCGCACAAGUAGAGUGAUCGAAAGAUGAAAAGCACUUUGGAAAGAGAGUCAAAUAGCACGUGAAAUUGUUGAAAGGGAAGCGCUUGUAGCCAGACUUGCCUGUAGUUGCUUAUCCAGACUUUUGUCUGGUGCACUCUUCUGCGGGCAGGCCAGCAUCAGUUUGGGCGGUUAGAUAAAGGUCUCUGUCAUGUACCUCUUUUCGGGGAGGCCUUAUAGGGGAGGCGACAUGUAACCAGCCCAGACUGAGGUCCGCGCAUCUGCUAGGAUGCUGGCGUAAUGGCUAUAAGCGGCCCGUCUUGAAACACGGACCAAGGAGUCUAACAUCUAUGCGAGUGUUUGGGUGUCAAGCCCAGACGCGUAAUGAAAGUGAACGGAGGUAAGAACCCCUUGGGGUGCAUUAUCGACCGAUCCUGAUGUCUUCGGAAGGAUUUGAGUAAGAGCAUGGCUGUUGGGACCCGAAAGAUGGUGAACUAUGCUUGAAUAGGGUGAAGCCAGAGGAAACUCUGGUGGAGGCUCGCAGCGGUUCUGACGUGCAAAUCGAUCGUCAAAUUUGGGCAUAGGGGCGAAAGACUAAUCGAACUAUCUAGUAGCUGGUUCCUGCCG
rnacentral:rRNA from 1 species